rfam:Capsicum annuum cultivar Zunla-1 chromosome 8, whole genome shotgun sequence
GAAUCCAUGGCUGAAUGGUUAAAGCGCCUAACUCAUAAUUGCUGAAUUCGUAGGUUCAACUCAUACUGAAUGUA